UUCGCUUCUUCUGAAGUUCUUGAAGACAUUUGGAUACUUAAAUAGGGAAACGAAAGAUAGUGAUGUCCAGAUUUUUAUCUUCAUUUUGUUGAACAGGAUAUCGCCAAAAGAUUGUUACAAUCGAAUACGAGAUGUCGUGAUUUGUUGCUCGCUUUCAUGGCUCUAAACAUUUACAGAAAGGAAAGUUCGCCAUUUAAAAAUGUUGUCCUCAAAGUAAAGAAGACGUCACAUGUAAGACUUUAAAUCGUCCGUGACAUGCCGGGUCUGCGACAGAAAUGUGAAAUGGCUUAAUGCUGCAAAUGCUGUCAUCUCUAGUUCAACUAAAAAU